AACCAUAGGCGGGACACGAACCCGUAUUUACAAAUGUCCGCCGAUCUGUUGUGCUACCCAUUGUACUACCAUCGC